ensembl:lncRNA
CCCUGCUGAAGGGCAGGGAGUAUUUACCUGGGCUGGGUGCUAACUGGUAACGACGCACUGUGGCUCUGCCACAGAUAGGAGCUGGCUUGCACAACAGUGACUCAGAAGGCAAAGCAGGGUUGCAUCCAUCUUCCCUGCUCUGGCGUGCUGCGGUGCUGCUGUGUGCUGUUUUAGGAACUGGGACCACUGUGUCGCUCCAGAGGAGACAGCACGAGACUCAAGCAGGAAGGGGGCUGCCAGAAGAAGCCCCAUGGAGAUGCGGCAUCUGUUCCAUCUUUCUCUUUCUGCUCUUGUUUUAAUCCUUCAGCUGAAAAACUUGGGCAGUGAGAUGCAGAAUUUGGCUUGGUCUGUUACACUUCAGGCAGCCUGUAUGUUUUGUAGAUUUUACUUGACACCAGGCAGUAGUCAGAAAUUAG